GUAGUCCGCGCAGUAAACGAUGGACACUCGGCCUGUGGCCUUUACGGUUGCGGGUCUCUAGCGAAAGCGUUAAGUGUCCCACCUGGGGAGUACGCCGGCAACGGUGAAACUCAAAGGAAUUGACGGGGGCCCGCACAAGCGGAGGAACAUGUGGUUUAAUUCGAUGAUACGCGAGGAACCUUACCCGGGCUCAAACGCGAGGCGCGACAUCCUGAAAGGGGUGGUUCUUCGGACGCCUUGCGAGGUGCUGCAUGGUUGUCGUCAGCUCGUGCCGUGAGGUGUCGGCUUAAGUGCCAUAACGAGCGCAACCCCCAUCUUCAGUUGCCCCCGGGUGGUGCCGGGCACUCUGGAGAGACUGCCGGCGCAAGCUGUGAGGAAGGCGGGGAUGACGUCAAAUCAGCACGGCCCUUACGUCCGGGGCGACACACGUGUUACAAUGGCGGGGUGACAGCGGGAAGCCAGGCGGCGACGUCGAGCUGAUCCCGAAAACCCGUCUCAGUUCGGAUCGGAGUCUGCAACCCGACUCCGUGAAGCUGGAUUCGCUAGUAAUCGCGCAUCAGCCAUGGCGCGGUGAAUACGUUCCCGGGCCUUGUACACACCGCCCGUCAAGCCAUGGAAGCCUGGAGUGCCUGAAGUCCGUAGCCGUAAGGCGCGGCCUAGGGCGAUACCGGUGAUUGGGGCUA
rnacentral:rRNA from 1 species